rnacentral:RNase_P_RNA from 1 species
GGAGUCGGCCAGACAGUCGCGUCACUCGCAAGAGUGCCGAGGAAAGUCCGGGCUCCAUAGGGCAAGGUGCCAGGUAACGCCUGGGCGGCGCAAGCCGACGGACAGUGCAACAGAAAGAUACCGCCUACGUUCCUUUCGGGGAGCAGGUAAGGGUGAAAUGGUGCGGUAAGAGCGCACCGCGAGUCCGGUAACGGACCGGCACGGCAAACCCCACCUGGAGCAAGACCAAAUAGGGAUCCAUUGGCGUGGCCCGCGCUGGAUCCGGGUAGGUUGCUUGAGCGCUGCGGUGACGUAGCGCCUAGACGAAUGACUGUCCACGACAGAACCCGGCUUAUCGGCCGGCUCCGCCG